UAUUGUGCUACCUCCAUCAAGUCAGAAUUAAGACUCUUAAUCUUGGCGUCUUUCUCCACUAGCGUUUCCUUCAUUGUGGCAAGUUCCAUCAAAAUUGUGUUCUCACGUUCUUCAACUUCGUUCUCGCGUCUCUUCAUCUCGUUCUCCAUGAGCACCAACUGUUUCCUUUGCAACGAAAUAUCUUCCUCUACGCCUUGCACUUUUUUCUCUUUCCACUCAACCU